rnacentral:rRNA from 1 species
UACGGAGGAUCCAAGCGUUAUCCGGAUUCAUUGGGUUUAAAGGGUGCGUAGGCGGAAUGAUAAGUCAGUGGUGAAAUCCUUCAGCUUAACUGGAGAACUGCCAUUGAUACUGUCAAUCUUGAGUACAUUUGAUGUGGGCGGAAUGUGUCAUGUAGCGGUGAAAUGCUUAGAUAUGACACAGAACACCGAUUGCGAAGGCAGCUCACAAAAACUGUAACUGACGCUGAGGCACGAAAGCGUGGGUA